rnacentral:misc_RNA from 2 species
GUGGGAGCAAGGCUUGCCCGCGAUCACAUCGCCUCGGUAUCAAGAUGAACCGAGGCGCUUCCAUCGCGGGCAAGCCUUGCUCCCAC